AUUGAACGCUGGCGGCAGGCCUAACACAUGCAAGUCGAGCGGAUGAAGGGAGCUUGCUCCUGGAUUCAGCGGCGGACGGGUGAGUAAUGCCUAGGAAUCUGCCUGGUAGUGGGGGAUAACGUCCGGAAACGGGCGCUAAUACCGCAUACGUCCUGAGGGAGAAAGUGGGGGAUCUUCGGACCUCACGCUAUCAGAUGAGCCUAGGUCGGAUUAGCUAGUUGGUGGGGUAAAGGCCUACCAAGGCGACGAUCCGUAACUGGUCUGAGAGGAUGAUCAGUCACACUGGAACUGAGACACGGUCCAGACUACUACGGGAGGCAGCAGUGGGGAAUAUUGGACAAUAGGCGAAAGCCUGAUCCAGCCAUGCCGCGUGUGUGAAGAAGGUCUUCGGAUUGGAAAGCACUUUAAGGUGGGAGGAAGGGCAGUAAGUUAAUACCUUGCUGUUUUGACGUUACCAACAGAAUAAGCACCGGCUAACUUCGUG
rnacentral:rRNA from 1 species